rnacentral:misc_RNA from 1 species
UUGAUGGUCCGCAACCUAUGGAAGGUACAUUCCGUUCCUGUCCUAAAUAAUACUGAUUGACUAUGGAAGAAAUUGGAAAUCCUGAAUUUUUCGGUUUUAGUUUUCUUUCUCUUUAGUAUGAUGUCUGAGUUCAAAUGGGUAGUGCUUCAUAUGUUCUUAUUUUAUGUUCUUCCCAUAGAAAAAUUAUAAAUUUUGAAAUGGUUUGGAUGUUGGUUUGAAUUUCGCAGUUGGUAUUGCCCUGCUGGUUUCAGUUGAGUGUAGUCUGGGUUUUGUCUAGGAAUGAAUGACCCAUUGAUUUUAGGAGCUUAG